UAGUCCACGCCGUAAACGAUGGUCACUAGUUGUUGGGGCUUUAUGCCUCAGUGAUUAAGCGAAAGUGAUAAGUGACCCACCUGGGGAGUACGAUCGCAAGAUUGAAACUCAAAGGAAUUGACGGGGGCCCGCACAAGCGGUGGAGCAUGUGGUUUAAUUCGAUGAUACGCGAGGAACCUUACCAGGACUUAAAUGUAGUAUGACCGGUCUGGAAACAGGCCUUCCCUUCGGGGCAGAUUACAAGGUGCUGCAUGGUUGUCGUCAGCUCGUGCCGUGAGGUGUUAGGUUAAGUCCUGCAACGAGCGCAACCCCUAUUCUUAGUUGCCAGCGGUUCGGCCGGGGACUCUAAGAAGACUGCCAGCGCAAGCUGAGAGGAAGGUGGGGAUGACGUCAAAUCAUCACGGCCCUUACGUCCUGGGCUACACACGUGCUACAAUGGUAGAGACAGAGGGCAGCCACCUGGCGACAGGGAGCGAAUCCUUAAACUCUAUCUCAGUUCGGAUCGG
rnacentral:rRNA from 1 species